AUGGCCGGUGUCGGGCCCGUGAAGACCCGCUGGAUGGCGGCCGCCCUCGUCGCUCGCCGCGGCCUCUGCCCUGCCACCGCCCGUGGUCUUCAGUGGCGGCACAACAGCCACCACCACCUCCACUAUCCCGACCCGAGCUCCACCAUGGCUGCCCCCAUCGCAGGCAACUCCAAGACCUGGCCCUUCCGCGAGGACGAAUCAAGAGGAGGAGCCGGUCUUGCGGCGGGAGAAGCCGAAAUCUGGGACGAGCGCGGCGCCAUAACUGCGGACUACGGUGAGACAAGGCAGUGGACACCGACGGACCUCCCGCCGGAGGCCGCGAAGACGCCUUGGGGAGAAUUAGCCAAGGGGAGCACGGAUGGGAGCAGGCGACGGGAGCAAGCAAGCCCCGUCCCUCGGAAUAAGCCUUAUCCCCUAGCCCCGAGCACCCCUCUCCGUGCCUAUAUAAACCCCGGAGCCCGUUCUCUCCAUUCUGCCAUUCCGUUUCGCCUCACACCGCUCAUAGCCGUCACCCCGUCCACUUGGAUCUCGCUGGAGCUAAAGCUCUCCGCCAUUGUUUCCGUCGUCGGUGGAACCCCAUGCCCUCUCCUCUCUGUUUCGCCGGAGACGCUGCCCCGACGACCUGCGUCCUCGCCGGAGCACGAAGCCAUCGUCCCCGCGCAGCACGACCUCGACGUCCCCGACGUGAGCUGCCUCCACCACCGGACCGCCAACGCUGCGCCGGUCCCGUUCGCCUUCUUCCCCGCCACCGGAGGCCGCCGCAGCCGCCGCCCCUGUUCGCCGUCCUCGCUCGCUUGCGUGUGUCGAAGGCUAGUAAGUUCUACUGCCAGUAUAUGCCAAGUUCAGAGAUGUUGCCAUCGAUGGCAUGGAGCGAGCCGCGUCUCGCACCCCCAUCAGCUACAGGUCACGGACUCCGGCGGCUGCAGUUCACGGACUCUGCCAGCUGAAGGUCCUCAUUUUGUUGAUGGUGGCAUCUUACAAAGAAAAGGCAAACCUCUUUUCUUCCUCCCAGGCACAGCCGCGGCAUCCUUUUCAGUCCAAAUCGACCACUGGCUGCCGUCCAAGUUGAAUCCCUUCUACAAUCUUCGCCAAAGCAGCCAGCCUCUGCCAUGUUCGCCUAGCUCCAUCGCCAAAGCAAACGGGUACAUCCAACGACAACCAGUAGGCGACAAGUGUACUGGUGAGCAGCGGGACAGUAGCAUGAAGCAGUUGAUUAGUUGUGCGUGCAUAAGAACUCGGCGUGCGUGGUCGUCAAUGAGCUCUCCUACACAAUGGUCGCUCAUGAAAAAAGGGCGUCCGUUAGGCACGACUCACGCGUCGCUCCUGAUCCGUGGACCAGCACGUUUCGUAUGGGCUGAGCCAUGGUCCAGAAUUGUUAGUCCAGUACGGAAGGCUUGCGGCCCAGAGGAGGUUGGCGAAACCUCGGUCCCCUGCUCUCUGCGGCGGCGGGUGUUACUUCCGGCGGCGCGGCGAUGGACGAUGCGGGGCUGGAGUUCCUUAUGGAUCCCAUCGACCGCCCGUGGAUUCUAUGGCGGGUCUGGUUGCGUGCAAGAUGAGGGUGUCCGCAUCCCCGUCAGGCUGGCAGGCGAACUACAACGAGGAAUAAAUGCUUCUCCGACUAGGUUAGGGCUGGGGAGUGCUCCAUCGGACAGAACUCCUUGCACAUUAAAGAUGCAUUUGUUGGAGCAAUCUAUUUGCAAAUAUGCAGAGGAGCCUGGAAAGAGUGGGAAGCUAGAGGCGGAGAACAAACGGUCUUGUAGGUGCGAUUGCCCCGCAUUGAUAAGGCUGUUGCCGGCGUCCGGCAAUAGCUGGUAUAUAAUUGAGCUCUUUUUCGGAUCUGUUGAGAAGGUACUGUUUACAAAGAGGACUUUGAGGAACAUAUGUGGCCAGAUAAGCCAUGAGCAGACGGAUUAUGAUAUGAGGAAAACUUUGGAGGUUUUUGCUGACAUUGUUGGGAGUGACCCGGACUUCUUAUCGAUAGCGAGAGCAGGGCAUUCGACUCUAUACAUGCAGGCUCUGGAUGUUGUUAGGAUGGGGGACGCUAGCGCUGAAAUGUUCGAGCACAUGUCGGCUGGCCUGAAAGCUCUAAUGGCGAACGCUAGCACUGAAGCGUUCGAGCACAUGUUGACUGGCCUUUAA
rnacentral:rRNA from 1 species